CAUUGUGUCUUCGAGUCGUUGAUUUCACACUGCCGAGAAAAGCCUCUAGAUAGAAAAUAGGUGCCCGUACCGCAAACCGACACAGGUAGUCAAGAUGAGAAUUCUAAGGUGAGCGAGCGAACUCUCGUUAAGGAACUCGGCAAAAUGACCCCGUAACUUCGGGAGAAGGGGUGCUCUUUAGGGUUAACGCCCAGAAGAGCCGCAGUGAAUAGGCCCAAGCGACUGUUUAUCAAAAACACAGGUCUCUGCUAAACCGUAAGGUGAUGUAUAGGGGCUGACGCCUGCCCGGUGCUGGAAGGUUAAGAGGAGUGGUUAGCUUCUGCGAAGCUACGAAUCGAAGCCCCAGUAAACGGCGGCCGUAACUAUAACGGUCCUAAGGUAGCGAAAUUCCUUGUCGGGUAAGUUCCGACCCGCACGAAAGGCGUAACGAUUUGGGCACUGUCUCAACGAGAGACUCGGUGAAAUCAUAGUACCUGUGAAGAUGCAGGUUACCCGCGACAGGACGGAAAGACCCCGUGGAGCUUUACUGUAGCCUGAUAUUGAAAUUCGGCACAGCUUGUACAGGAUAGGUAGGAGCCUUUGAAACGUGAGCGCUAGCUUACGUGGAGGCGCUGGUGGGAUACUACCCUAGCUG
rnacentral:rRNA from 1 species